UAGAGUUUGAUCAUGGCUCAGAUUGAACGCUGGCGGCAGGCCUAACACAUGCAAGUCGAACGGUAGCACAGAGAGCUUGCUCUCGGGUGACGAGUGGCGGACGGGUGAGUAAUGUCUGGGAAACUGCCUGAUGGAGGGGGAUAACUACUGGAAACGGUAGCUAAUACCGCAUAACGUCUUCGGACCAAAGUGGGGGACCUUCGGGCCUCACACCAUCGGAUGUGCCCAGAUGGGAUUAGCUAGUAGGUGGGGUAAUGGCUCACCUAGGCGACGAUCCCUAGCUGGUCUGAGAGGAUGACCAGCCACACUGGAACUGAGACACGGUCCAGACUCCUACGGGAGGCAGCAGUGGGGAAUAUUGCACAAUGGGCGCAAGCCUGAUGCAGCCAUGCCGCGUGUAUGAAGAAGGCCUUCGGGUUGUAAAGUACUUUCAGCGGGGAGGAAGGCGACAGGGUUAAUAACCCUGUCGAUUGACGUAUCCG
rnacentral:rRNA from 1 species